UAUUCCUAUUCUUUUUUUUUUCUUUUUUUUUUUUUCUUACCCUAAUCUUAAG
rnacentral:ribozyme from 21 species